rnacentral:misc_RNA from 1 species
AACCAUAGAAACCUGCGGAGUACCUGCGGAGGGAUCAUUACAAGUGACCCCGGUUUACCACCGGGAUGUUCAUAACCCUUUGUUGUCCGACUCUGUUGCCUCCGGGGCGACCCUGCCUUCGGGCGGGGGCUCCGGGUGGACACUUCAAACUCUUGCGUAACUUUGCAGUCUGAGUGAACUUAAUUAAUAAAUUAAAACUUUUAACAACGGAUCU